CCUACGGGAGGCAGCAGUGAGGAAUAUUGGUCAAUGGGCGAGAGCCUGAACCAGCCAAGUCGCGUGAGGGAGUACUGCCCUAUGGGUUGUAAACCUCUUUUGUAGGGGAGCAAAAGCCGGACGUGUCCGGUUGUGAGAGUACCCGAAGAAAAAGCAUCCGCUAACUCCGUGCCAAGCGCCGCGUUAUCACGGAGGAUGCGAUGGUUAUUCGGUUUUUUUGGGUUUAAAGGGGACGCGGGCGGUCUGUUAAGUUAGCGGUAAAAGCCCGGGGCUCAACCCCGUCCCGCCGUUGAAACUGGCAGUCUCGAGUUGGAGAGAGGUAUGCGGAAUGCGCGGUGUAGCGGUGAAAUGCAUAGAUAUCGCGCAGAACUCCGAUUGCGAAGGCAGCAUGCCGGCUCCACACUGACGCUGAGGCACGAAAGCGUGGGUAUCGAACAGGAUUAGAUACCCCUGUAGUC
rnacentral:rRNA from 1 species